rnacentral:misc_RNA from 1 species
GAGAAGAACGUAGCGAAAUGCGAUAAGUAAUGUGAAUUGCAGAAUUCAGUGAAUCAUCGAAUCUUUGAACGCACAUUGCGCCCGCCAGUAUUCUGGCGGGCAUGCCUGUUCGAGCGUCAUUUCAACCAUCAAGCCCCCCGGCUUGUGUUGGGGACCUGCGGCUGCCGCAGGCCCUGAAAAGCAGUGGCGGGCUCGCUGUCACACCGAGCGUAGUAGAUCUCAUCUCGCUCAGGGCGUGCUGCGGGUUCCGGCCGUUAAACCACCUUCAUAACCCAAGGUUGACCUCGGAUCAGGUAGGAAGACCCGCUGAACUUAAGCAUAUCAAUAAGCGGAGGA